UGUUGUCUGGAGAACUGACGUGGCUCUUUCCUCUUUGGUUCUGCAGUAAGGAGCAAGCAACGACUCAACACAAUGGAGCUGGAGGCCAUGACCAGAUACACCAGUCCGGUGAACCCAGCAGUCUUCCCCCACCUCACUGUGGUCCUCCUGGCUAUCGGCAUGUUCUUCACUGCGUGGUUCUUUGUCUACGAGGUAACAUCCACUAAAUACACCAGAGACGUGUUCAAAGAGCUGCUCAUCUCCCUGGUGGCGUCGCUCUUCAUGGGCUUCGGAGUGCUGUUUCUGUUACUGUGGGUCGGCAUCUAUGUCUGACGGGUAAGGAUCAUGGCAUCUAUGUCUGACAGGUAAGGAUCAUGGUAUCUAUGUCUGACGGGUAAGGAUCAUGGCAUCUAUGUCUGACGGGUAAGGAUCGUGGCAUCUAUGUCUGACGGAUUGUUAUAUCAAUACAGAAGAACAUUCCAGUGGAACAGGACAUGAAAUGGGCUCCACUACAAGAUGGUUAUGGAUUGGAUUGCACUGUGGGGGGCUGUGGAUUGGGGUGACCUUUCAAUAAAUAAAAAUAGCUAUUUGUACAAAAA